rnacentral:tRNA from 1 species
GGCGUUCGUCUAGCGGCCCAGGACACCGCCCUCUCAAGGCGGAGAUCAGGGGUUCAAAUCCCCUACGCC